UGCUUCAAGUCAGAUCAGUAAUAUAACAUUUUUUAAUCAUUAAUUAUUUAUUUAUUUGUUUUUUGUUUUUUAAUCCAAUCAGAAAUAGGAUUAAUACCUAGCAGGAAACAUAUGUAGAGUUUACUUAAGUGUUGUGCAUAACAACCAAGAAAUAUAAGGUACAAGUAGAAGUAGAACAGAACAGCCUAGUUUGUGAGUGUUAGGAUGUUAGGCCUUCAGAGGUAAUGGAAACCUACAAAUGUCCAGUCAGUGAUGUUGUGAAAUUUCAACUGUCAAAAUACCUGCAGCACCUACAGCUAUUGCAUCAUCAUCAGCCCGAUUUUAGCAUUGUCUGCAAUAUAGAGGGAUGCAAGAGGAGUUAUAAAACUGUUCCAAGUUUUAGAACCCACAUCUACAGAAAACAUAGAGCUACUCUCAGGAGGCCUACAGAUCAUUUUCAGAAUGUAACUCUUGCAGAGGGCUGUAGCUCAGUAGAGCAGGUCGACUAGUGAUCAGAAGGUCACUGGUUCAAAUCCCGGUUCUGGACAGGGCUGAGCUGCAUGUCGAAGUGUCCUUGAGCGAGAUACUGAACUGAACCCCACAUUGCUCUUCAGUAAGGACCCUGCGAUGAGCAGGAGUAUCCUGCCCUCGCCCUGAGACAAGCCUGGCUCCAGCAGCAACACCCUGCGACCCCAUGGAAAGGGAUAAGCGGUUACAGACAAUGACAUGACAUGACAACUCUUGCAGAGGAAAAUGAAGAGGACGAGGUAGUUGUCUGCCCACAACUUGGCUGGAUUUACAAGCUGUUUUAGCAGUGGAAGGAUGUGCAGGUUCUGUAUGACUACAUAUUGUGACUUAAAGGCACAUGUGAAUGAAGAUAAUGUGCAUAUUAGAUCCUCAAAUGUGCACAGCUACGAUCUGAAUGCACUCAGUGAGAACAGUCAACUGUCAAAACAGACCUACGGCGUGGUUAAGCAGUGUCCAUUCACUGAGCUUGAAUACUUUGAUGUCACCAGACCAUUUCCCCAGACCUAAUGCACGAUUUCUUAGAGGGCAUUAUUACCAGUUGUCGUCUGUAAAGUUGUCACUGCGCUUCACUUGCUGAAAAUUGUAACACUGAGUGACAUCAAUUCAGAGCUGGGAGCAUUUAAUAUCGGAAAAAACGAUAGAGGUAACAUCCCGCCGAUAUUAUCACCAAGUACACUGAAGCACAACAAGUUGACUGGAUCAGCGGCAAAAAAAACUGGUGUUUAUUCAGGAACUUACCAUUCCUUAUUGGACAUUACAUUCCAGAAGGUGAGAUCCACUGGGAUAUCCACUGUUUAUCUCAAAUGCAGAGAGAUUGGAGAUAUCAUCCUCUCUCACUCCAUCAGAAAAAGCAUCAUUCCUGUCCUCAGCUUCCAGAUUGGUGAAUUCCUCUCCUCCUUCCUGACCGUCUUUCCAGACACCUUCACACCUAAAUUGCACUAUCUCAUUCACUAUCCAUGCCUGACUUUAUCCAUGGUGCAUGCGAUUUGAGGGGAAACAUCAGUACUUCAAGAGGUUAUUCCACAACACCCGUAACUUCAAGAAUCUUUGUUACACCCUCUCCAAGUGACGCCAGUUAUGGCAGAGUUGGGAGCUAAUAUCUCUGGAUAUCCUUCGCCAGCACUCAUACACUGAAGGUGAACGACAAGUCCCAUUCUGGUCUCUUCCCCUUGAUAUUCAGGUAGGUAUUGCUGUCAAGGGUGGGGUUGAAGACAUCCCAAAUGAGGAGAAAGUAGGAGUUGUUAGCUCUCUCUUGACUAACACCAUCAAAUACAAAGUGGAUGACACCAUCAUAAUUGAUGUGGUAGAGGAGGACAUUCCCAUCUUUAUGAGAAUAGCUAAGAUUAUCCAGUUCAGGGCUCUCUGGAUGAUCUUUGGAAAGCUACUGACACCCAAGAAAUUCGGCAGCCACUACCAUGCCUUUUCUUUGGAGGACCAGAAAAAGUGGAUUGUGGUUAAGCCAGGGGAUGAGAAAGAUUACCAUGCUUUGGACACCUACAUUCAUGAUAACAAUACAUUCCUUACACUUCAUGUAUAUGUCCAGAGGUAAAAACCUUAUGUAUUCCUGCAGUUGUCUUAAUGAAAUGUGUUAUUUUUUGUCCCUCUGAAAUAGGUAACCAACCUCUUGUUUAGGAUUACAAUUUCCUGACAAUUUAAUGUAAUUCUUACCUCAACAGAACAGCAAAUUGAUGGGGAAACUCUGCUGGGAUUAACAGAGAGGAUGGUGGAAAAACUUCUCCCUGUGAUGAAACACCAGGUCAUGUUUCUGAGAGAGUUGGAGAAGUUGCGGAACACCUCAUCUUUGGCCAAACAAGAAGAUCCAGUGCCAUGUGAUGUACUACCUGCAGAACCAAACGCUCAUCAGGAAGCCCAGGAGUCUUGGCCAGCAUUAUACAGCCUGCCACUUCUGCCCCCAGAGCUGCAGGAAGCUCUGCAAAGAAAGGAUCAAUCUUUCAAAAAGAAGGACAAGUCCCAUUUACGAGCCAAGUUGGUCCAAGUGUUGUUCGACAACUUAACCAAAUACACAUGGAAACCUUACUGGAGUGCCUGAGAAAUAAGUUCAAGGAAGAGAGGUCUCCUUUAUUGCACUUAAAAACAGUCCAGGAAAUGAAAAAAAAGUUUGGUGCCAAAAGACAGAGAAGAGGGGACCACCUGCCUUUGGAGGACCUAGCUGGACAACAGAGAGCAAAAAGGCGAAGAAUUGAUAAUCCAAUCCAGAUAUCCUCUGAGGAUCUUGAUCCAACACAGGAGGUAUGCAAUUUUUUUGAUGAUUGAAAUAAUGUUGUAUAUUUGGCAUGAGGACAUUUACAUUAUCUACACGGCUUCUGUCACGCUCAGACAAGGAGAGAGGACUCAGAUGCAGAAAUGAUGAAGUAAAGACAGGUUUUAUUUUACUGAUUUGAAGCUCUUUAGAAUGAAUAACAAAUCAAUGGCUAUGAAAGUUCUAUGGAGACAGACAAGACGAACAAGACAAAUAACACGUAAAACGAAAAGCGCUCCCGAAGGAGGAAUCUACACUAUUCUUAAUUUCAAGGCUAUAAAACUUUAAAUAGAAAACAAAAACUUCUCCGAAGAGGUCAGCUCACAGGCUAUGAAAAAUAUCUACUCUCAAUAAUAAAAGGUAGAACAAAAGACGCUCGACGCGGAGGAAAACAAACGGCUAUGAAAGUCCUAAACUGAAAAUAAAAACUCUAACCACAAACGUUAGAAACAAAAGGAUCAAACAACCAAAGAGAACAAAUUCAGAAAAUAAAACUUGACAAUACUUAGGUAUCAUCUUACUUUCUUUGGCUGGUUUGACCUGGCUGACAUGAAAUGUCGGAUGAACUCUUAGGGACUGGGGCAGACGAAGUCGUACAGCAGCGGGCCCGACGAUCUUGGUGAUAGGGAAGGGGCCCACAAAACGAGGAGCCAAUUUUUUGGAAGGAACCUUGAGGUUAAGGUCUUUCGCUGACAGCCACACUCUCUGGCCUUGUCGAUAGUCUGGGGCUGGGCGUCUCUUCCGAUCCACGGUUCUCUUGACGCGGUCUCCCUGGCGAAUAAGAGUCUGUCAAGUGGCGGCCCAGAUGCGUCUGCAGCGUCGAACCAUGGCGUAGGCUGAGGGGACCGAAACUUCCCCUUCAUUGUCUGGAAACAGAGGUGGGGGGUAUCCUAGAGCACAAUGAAAGGGAGAGAGACCAGUAGCGGAGGUGGGUAAUGAAUUGUGCGCAUACUCAACCCAGACCAGGUGUUGGCUCCAUGUUGAGGGGUUCUGGUGAACCACGCAUCGGAGGCCGGUUUCCAGUUGUUGGUUGAGGCGUUCGGUCUGGCCGUUGGCUUCAGGGUGAUAACCGGAUGUCAGGCUUGCUCUGGCUCAGAUGAGUCGACAGAAUUCUCUCCAGAACCUGGACACGAACUGGGGCCCCCAGUCUGAAACAAUGUCUUUGGGGAACCCGUGGACACGAAAAACAGUGUUCAUCAUAACCUCUGCCGUCUCUUUGGCAGAUGGUAGUUUGGGAAGAGCGAUGAAUUUCGCCAUCUUGGAGAAUCGGUCCACCACUGUGAGGACUGUAGUGUUUCCUUGUGAGACCGGGAGCCCAGUGACAAAGUCCAUCGACAUGUGUGACCAUGGUCGAGAUGGGAUGGGAAGCGGUUGGAGUAACCCAGAGCGAGCCUGUGAUGACGUCUUGUUGCGUGCACAGACCGAACAAGCCUCGAUGUACUCCCGGACCUCCGACUCCAUGGCGGGCCACCAGAACCUCCAGGAGAUGACGUAUAUAGUUCUCCUGACUCCCGGAUGACAAGAAAGCAGCGAGGUAUGCGCCCAAUGAAUCACCUGUGGCCGUAACUCAGAGGGAACGAACAGACGGUUGUCGGGACAGCCACGAGGUGCGGGGGCGCCACCAUUUGCUUGCUUGACCUCGUAUUCUAUAGGCCAAGUCACCGCUCCAACCACACAGUUCAGUGGAAGGAUAGGUUCGGUUUGCUUGGUCUUGGGCUCGGGAUAGAAUAGUCGAGACAAGACGUCCGGCUUGACGUUCCGGGAUCCCGGCCUGUAGGACAGAGUAAAAGAGAAACGGUUAAAGAACAGAGCCCACCUGGCCUGGCGAGAGUUAAGCCUUUUAGCCUUUCUGAUAAACUCCAGAUUUUUGUGGUCUGUCCAGACAAUGAAUGGUUGUUCGGCCCCCUCCAACCAAUGCCUCCACUCUUCCAACGCAAGUUUUACCGCAAGCAGCUCCCGGUUGCCGACAUCAUAAUUGCGCUCUGCCCGGGACAGCCGUCGUGAUAGGAAUGCACAGGGGUGCAUUUUGCCGUCCUUCUCAGAUCGUUGGGAUAGGACAGCUCCAACCCCAUCAUUGGAGGCGUCAACCUCCACCACAAACUGUCGUCGAGGAUCAGGCAGGGUAAGGAUGGGAGCCGUGGUGAAGCGGUGUUUGAGUUCCUGGAAUGCUCUGUCUGCCUCAGGAGACCAGCGAAAAGGAACCUGGGGUAACCUGAGAUGCAUCAUGAAAUGAGGUUGCAUUUUGGCCAGGACUUGGAGCUAAAUCUUCAAGAUGCUGUUAAUGUGAUGACACCCAACAUUAUAAAGGUGGCUCGAAGUGGGAGUCAGAGAGGCCUCCUGUCAUGCCUGCUGGGAACUGAGGCUAACAAAGAUGACCUGGAAAAGAGUGCAGCAAUGCUGAUUCUGCCUGCCCUAUUCAAGGAGAGUUUCUUUACUGUUUAGAUGAGGAACCAGCAAGCUCAUUCCCAGCCAUCAUCUUCCAUGAUGUUGGGGAAUCCCCUUCUUGCUGCGAAAGCAUCAAUAAAGAUGGAUAGAGUGACCAUCACAAGUGGGAACCUGGAUGUGCAACAGGCUCUGCAGUGUCUGCUUGAGGUAUAUUUCCUGUUUGGCGUGGAAUACCCCAAACAGAUGAAACACACGUUGUCAUUUAUAGAACACUAUUUGUUCAAAAUAAGAAAUGAUAAUAAAAGACUGUCUAUCCCAGCUCUCAAAAUAUACAAUCAGCUUUCACACUAAAUUUUGAAAUUGAUGUAAAUAGUUGUUUUCAAUGAAUUUUUGCCGAGAUUAAAAUCUU